GGGUGUGAUUUUUCAUACGGAUUUACAAUUUUUGUCUGCCAUCUGAACCAGAUCGGAUUGUUGAUGUUUUUUGGAAUGUUCGAUUUUUUUCGGUUUUCCGCUAGAUGCCGUCAAAUUAGCUUAGCCUGUAAUGGCGACUGUUGUUGUUGUGAAAAUUGCUCGUUCUCGUUUUUUUGUGUUUUCAUAGGUAAAUGUGAUACCACGGUGAUACAAUGUACACAUUGUUAUUUCGCCUUAAAAAUUAGAUUCCAUUGGCAUGUAGAAGGUUGCCGAGCAUGGGAAAGCGUUACAUUUCUUAUGAUUUUUCUGUUGCAAAACGGUGCAUGCACAACUACAAUGGAGCUGGGUGUCAAAGUACAAGCUAUUCACCGGCCUUUUAACACGACUAGUAUGAUUCCAGCUACCGAUCGCGCCGUAUUUCACCGAUGCCCAGUAGCAGUAGCGUUACAAUCAAGCAUUUUACGACUGAUUUCUGUAGUGACGUUGGCACGUUGUUCAUCAGUUCAAGGCAAGUGGCUACCACUAAAGUCAUCUCAUCAAGCACUGAUGCCUUACUCACGUCUGAUCCUUCUAUAUGUGGCAGACUUUGUUCUCAGUUCUCAACUUGGUGUCAUCUGUAAAUUACAAUCACAUAAGUUUGAAGUGCAUCAAAACAAGACAAAAGUUUUUUAACUUGAAAGUGAAAUCAAAGUAAAAGCUGAAAUGCUUAAAAAUGCACCAAAAUUCCCCUAACAUUGCUGGAGAGCAGCCUUGUCUAUUAUCUGAAACCAAGUCUGCAACGUUAACUGUACUCGGCUGUUUCCUAUUUUGUUUUUUAUGUUUUUUAUGAUGUAGUUAAACAUAAACAUCUCACCUCUAACUGUCCAGUUCAGAAUUCAGGAGGCCUAACAGACCAUUCAAACAGGAUAAUGAAUGUUUCAAAGAAGAGAAAUAUAAGAAAGGAACAUACUUCUAUUUUAGAGCCAUGUAACUUGAUCUUUCUGAUGCCAUAUUCCCUGCUAAUUGGGUGAUUGCUUUGAUUAAAGUAAAAAGAUUUGUAGAGGCCGAAGAAGAAUGUAACCCAUCUUUAAAGCUUGAUCCAACCUUAUUUGUGAAAGCAUAUCAUCGUCGUCGCGGCAUAGCCCGAUCCCAUAAAAGAUGCAACAAGUACUUGAUGAAUUUGAGAAAGUAUUAAGUAUCGAGCCACAUAACAAAGCUGCGCUGCAAGAAUUUAAACGUCCCUCAAAACUCGAGACUUACUAGUUGGAAGAGAUACCGCUUACUUCCGGUGUAGUUCCGGUACAAGGAAUUGACUAUCGAAUGUGUGACACUCACACUAGAUGGUGACCGGUGAGAUGUCUUUUCUUGUCAUGGCGUCAUGCGAAAGAUGUCGAAAAUUAAGUUUGCUUUUGUGCCGGACGUUAUUUUGUUUUUCGGGAGAAAUCAAGCAUCAAAAUGAUAUGUAUUGUCCAGGUUAAACCAUAGUCUAUGGUUUUACAUAUGGAUUAACUUUAUCCUGGGCAUUCAACCUCAAGUUGCUGAAUAUUUCUUAUUAAACUUCAUCUUUAUAUCCUGAAACUUGCUUGCUACUGUGAUCGAGUAGUGAAAUUCUAUCCUGGCUGCCAUUCUCUGUUUCAACCUCCCCGUAGGAAGCACACAACAUAGUUCCCAUGGCAGAUAAAGAUAAUUUGCCUCUCAGAAAAAAUGCGAGGUAUCUGGUCGUCCAUCUAAGGAAAAUUAUCAGGCAUUGACGACACGUCCAACGCGGAUCAUCGUCUAUUAUUAUUGAUACGUCAUUUUCGAGCUCAUUUUCUCAGCUGCAAAAAUCGUCUUUUUAUCUGCUAUUCUCUUGCUGUGAACGUUCGUUGGCGUAACUAAACAGUUCGGGAACAAAAGGAGUGGAACAACCGAACAGGAAAGGACUUGGCGG
rnacentral:lncRNA from 1 species